rnacentral:lncRNA from 1 species
CAGGCCUAACAAGAACAUUAAUAAAUAUCUACAAUAUAAGAAUCAAGCUACAACCAUAACCGCUGGUGAUCCACUGUAGGACUUAUCAGAAAUUGGUAUUCGAGGAGAAGAACUACAGGAUUUCCCGCUCCACAAAAAAAAAACAUUUUCUGAGUCAAUACUGCUUUAUGGAAAUCAUUCUCCGUAUAAUAGAUUAACCGAUGAAUGAGACAGAAAGAGAGGGUUGAAGUUAAUUUUGAUCCUGGUACUGAAAAAAAUCAAAUCGUCUAUCAAGGUACUCUUUGCUGUUGACUUUACGCCUUCGACAAUUUUACAGUCAAUUGAGGAACACUGGUUGCCACGUGUUUUGGUUUUAUCAGUUAGUCCCUUUACACUCCAGUACAUCGUAAUGCCUGAAGGAAGCACAAAGGUGCUUCUUUAUUUUCUGAAAACGGACGCAAUGUGUUGCAAUUACUAAAAAAAGGAUUUAUAACAAUUGAUUGGAUUAGCCAACCGUUCAGGCUGAUUAUACUGAAACAACCAAUGUCUACAAUGAUGUCGACUUUGCUGGACUUGCUUAUUGAUUUGCCGUUUCCGUCUUCAUUGUGCAACAUCAUGCAGAUAAUUUUCAACCUUCGAGUGAAAGCAACCAGAGGUACAUGAGGGUACACUGCGAGUAGAGAAAUGAACAGGAUAUUGACCCACAAAUGAGAAGGAAAUGCAGUUAACUUUGAUGCUACUGAAACAACCGAUGCUUUUGACGUCUUCAUCUUGCAACAUUAUGCAGUUAAUUUUUGCUGUAACAAUGGGAGGCAAUUGGAAAUUAAUUAACUUGGAAGCGAGGGACAAAAAAUUGCUUGCUGUGGUAUCCCUCCUAGAUUGGUUUGCUCAUCACACUGAUAGACUUUAGAACGCCAGUUUCUACAAUUAAUUGAGGUUAUACAACAAACGGGAGAGAAUUAAUGUUCAGUUUGGUUAUACUGAAACAGCCAAUACUACUUGGGUGUGGUCUUUCGUGGAUUAUAUUCUUCAUUUGCUGUUUCGUCUUCGCCUUGUAACAUCAUACAGUUAAUUUUCAACCCAUGAGUGAGAGCCACUGGAUAUUUACUUGAAUUCCACUGAAAUAACUUCUCUGCUACAGUGUUCCUCCUGGAGUUAGUUUGCUUUGACACCUGUAAACUUUGGAACGUUACGUUCUACAAUUAAUUAAGGUGAGAAUAAUUGAUAUAAUUAAUUUUAAUUG